rnacentral:rRNA from 1 species
GACGAACGCUGGCGGUGUGCUUAACACAUGCAAGUGGUGCGACGAACCAGAGCUUGCUCUGGGGCAAAGCCGCGAACGGGUGAGUAACACGUGGGUAAUCUACCCCGAUGACCGGGACAACCCGAGGAAACUCGGGCUAAUACCGGAUGUGGUGCGGAGACAUAAGUCUCUCACUAAAGGUAGCUUCGGCUUCCGCAUUGGGAGGGGCCCGCGGCCCAUUAGCUUGUUGGUGGGGUCAAGGCCUACCAAGGCAACGAUGGGUAGCUGGUCUGAGAGGACGAUCAGCCACACUGGGACUGAGACACGGCCCAGACUCCUACGGGAGGCAGCAGUGGGGAAUCUUGCGCAAUGCGCGAAAGCGUGACGCAGCAACACCGCGUGAGGGAAGAAGGCCUUAGGGUUGUAAACCUCUUUCAGAUGGGACGAAGGUUCUCCGGUGAAUAGCCGAGAGGAUUGACGGUACCGUCAGAAGAAGCUCCGGCUAACUACGUG